UACGGGGGGGGCAAGCGUUGUUCGGAAUUACUGGGCGUAAAGGGCGCGUAGGCGGCUUUUCAAGUCGGGCGUGAAAUCUCCAGGCUUAACCUGGAAGGGUCGUUCGAUACUGUUAAGCUAGAGUGUGGAAGAGGCUACUGGAAUUCCGUGUGUAGCGGUGAAAUGCGUAGAUAUACGGAGGAACACCGGUGGCGAAGGCGGCCUGCUGGGCAGUUGCUGACACUGAGGCGCGACAGCGUGGGGAGCAAACAGG
rnacentral:rRNA from 1 species